rnacentral:rRNA from 1 species
UACGUAGGGGGCAAGCGUUGUCCGGAUUUAUUGGGCGUAAAGAGCGUGUAGGCGGCCAUACAGGUCCGUUGUGAAAACUGGAGGCUUAACCUCCAGACGUCGAUGGAAACCGUAUGGCUAGAGUCCGGAAGAGGAGAGUGGAAUUCCUGGUGUAGCGGUGAAAUGCGCAGAUAUCAGGAAGAACACCCGUGGCGAAGGCGGCAUCCUGGACCAACACUGACGCUGAGGAGCGAAAGCCAGGGGAGCAAACGGG